AUCUAAAAAAUAGAUUAAAAUAACUCAAAUCUAAUAUAAAAUUAUAAAAUAUUCUAAAAUCUAUAGAUACUGCUACAACCUCAUAUCUAUACCAUCAUGCUACCCCAGCCUUACAGGAGAAAGUAUCUGCAAUUAUACAAAAUAUUGACAUGAUUUUGGAAAGAGACAAACAAUAAAAAGAUGAUGAAAAUAAAGAGAACAUGGAGAGCAAAAUAUGCAAUGUAAUGAAUGAAAAAAUAUG